CGAUUCCGUAAGUAGCGGCGAGCGAACGCGGAUUAGCCCAAACCAAUAAAGUUUUCUUUAUUGGGGUUGCGGACAUAUCAUAACGAAGAGGUAUCGUAAUUGAAGAGGUUUGGAAAGAUCCACCACAGAAGGUAAUAGUCCUGUAUGUUAAACGAGAAGACUUUAGAUAUGAUCCAGAGUACCACGGGACACGUGAAACCCUGUGGGAAGCAGGAGGGACCACCCUCCAAGGCUAAAUACUACCUAGUGACCGAUAGCGUAUAGUACCGUGAGGGAAAGGUGAAAAGAACCCCGGGAGGGGAGUGAAAUAGAACCUGAAACCCUGCACUUACAAG
rnacentral:rRNA from 1 species